rnacentral:lncRNA from 1 species
AUUGCAUACACUCAGUCUUCAGGAGGAGGCAUCCCCUCUGGGUACAGAACUUCCACCGUGGCUGCUUGCUCAGGAUAAACUGGUAGAACCAUGACUCAUUUUGUCAUUGGGACCACAGGAGGAGGGGCCAGAAGACAAUGAAGUGUGCGGUGAGCACUCUCACAUUUCGUUAGAUGCACCGUCUCUGAACCAGCUUACUCAGAACUUCAGGAUGGCGGUGUGCAGUUACCAACUGUUAAGUCAAAGAUUCUGGACUGUUUAGUGAAACCACAGGAUGCGAAUACCAAGGAUCCAAACACUCUGAUAAACUCAGAGAAAGUCUUGGGUAUGUGAGUCCCGAGCUGGAGGCUUCAGGGGAGUUGGUGCCAGUGCUCAAGGGACUUACCAUCCUUGGCUGAUGUGACCAGGUCUCCUGCUCAGGAUCACAGGAUAUAGCGAACCUGACUUUACCCUUGGGAAUCGGUGGUCGCUCUCUUUGUUUGAAGGUUGCUUUCA